rnacentral:rRNA from 1 species
GGUGUAAAGGGAGCGCAGGCGGAAGCGCAAGUUGGAUGUGAAACCCAUGGGCUCAACCCAUGGCCUGCAUCCAAAACUGUGUUUCUUGAGUAGUGCAGAGGUAGGCGGAAUUCCCGGUGUAGCGGUGGAAUGCGUAGAUAUCGGGAGGAACACCAGUGGCGAAGGCGGCCUACUGGGCACCAACUGACGCUGAGGCUCGAAAGCAUGGGUAGCAAACAGGAUUAGAUACCCUGGUAGUCCAUGCCGUAAACGAUGAUUACUAGGUGUUGGAGGAUUGACCCCUUCAGUGCCGCAGUUAACACAAUAAGUAAUCCACCUGGGGAGUACGACCGCAAGGUUGAAACUCGAAGGAAUUGACGGGGGCCCGCACAAGCAGUGGAGUAUGUGGUUUAAUUCGACGCAACGCGAAGAACCUUACCAGGUCUUGACAUCCCAGUGACCGCUCUAGAGAUAGAGUUUUUCUUCGGAACACUGGUGACAGGUGGUGCAUGGUUGUCGUCAGCUCGUGUCGUGAGAUGUUGGGUUAAGUCCCGCAACGAGCGCAACCCUUAUUGUUAGUUGCCAUCAUUCAGUUGGGCACUCUAGCGAGACUGCCGGUAAUAAANCCGGAGGAAGNGUGGGGAUGACGUCAAAUCAUCAUGCCCCUUAUGACCUGGGCUACACACGUGCUACAAUGGUUGGUACAACGAGUCGCAAGUCGGUGACGGCAAGCAAAUCUCUUAAAGCCAAUCUCAGUUCGGAUUGUAGGCUGCAACUCGCCUACAUGAAGUCGGAAUCGCU